rnacentral:tRNA from 1 species
GGAGAGGUGUCCGAGUGGUUGAUGGUGCCGCUCUCGAAAAGCGGUAGGCAGCAAUGCCUCGUGGGUUCGAAUCCCACCCUCUCCG